UUCUCGAGCGUGAAAAGAGCGUUCGGUGGAUGCCUUGGCGCCAGGAGGCGAUGAAGGACGUGGCACGCUGCGAAAAGCCGCGGGGAGAUGCGAGCGAUCGUUGAUCCGCGGAUGUCCGAAUGGGGAAACCCCACCGCAAGGUGAUCGUGCACUGAAUACAUAGGUGUACGAGGCGAACCCGGGGAACUGAAACAUCUCAGUACCUGGAGGAAAAGACAUCAACAGAGAUUCCGCGAGUAGUGGCGAGCGAAAGCGGAGUAGGCCAGUGGUUGCUGCAGGAGAAGGCGAAUGGUCUGGAAAGGCCGGCCGUAGCGGGUGAUAGCCCCGUAGCCGUAGUGUCUGCAGUGAUCCUUGAGUAGGGCGGGGCACGUGAAACCCUGUCUGAACGUGGGGGGACCACCCUCCAAGCCUAAAUACUCCCUGGCGACCGAUAGUGCACAAGUACCGUGAGGGAAAGGUGAAAAGCACCCCGACGAGGGGAGUGAAAGAGACCUGAAACCGGACGCUUACAAGCAGUCGGAGCUCGCAAGAGUGACGGCGUACCUUUUGUAUAAUGGGUCCGCGAGUUCGUGUUGGCAGCGAGCUUAAGCCGAGAGGUGUAGGCGCAGCGAAAGCGAGUCCGAAAUGGGCGUUGAGUUGCCGGCAUGAGACCCGAAACCUGGUGAUCUAGCCAUGGACAGGCUGAAGGUGGGGUAACACCUACUGGAGGGCCGAACCCACGCCUGUUGAAAAAGUCGGGGAUGAUCUGUGGCUAGGGGUGAAAGGCCAAUCAAACCAGGAAAUAGCUGGUUCUCCGCGAAAUCUAUUGAGGUAGAUCGUCAUCUGGACACCCUCGGAGGUAGAGCACCGGAUGGGCUAGGGGGACCCAAAGUCCUACCAAACCCAACCGAACUCCGAAUGCCGAGGAGUGAUGGGUGGCAGACAGACGGCGGGUGCUAAGGUCCGUCGUCGAGAGGGAAACAGCCCAGACCACCAGCUAAGGCCCCUAAUUCGUGGCUAAGUGGGAAAGCAUGUGGGACGGCCAAAACAACCAGGAGGUUGGCUUAGAAGCAGCCAUCCUUUAAAGAAAGCGUAAUAGCUCACUGGUCUAAUAGCUGUUCUGCGGCGAAAAUGUAACGGGGCUCAAGCCACGAGCCGAAGCUGUGGGUGCAUCGAAAGAUGUGCGGUAGCGGAGCGUUCCCUAGGCCUGUGAAGCGGUACCUGUGAGGGGCCGUGGAGGUAUGGGAAGUGCGAAUGCGGACAUGAGUAGCGACAAGAAGGGUGAGAAACCCUUCCGCCGAAAAUCCAAGGGUUCCUGCGCAAGGCUAAUCCGCGCAGGGUGAGCCGGCCCCUAAGGCGAGGGCGACAGCCGUAGCCGAUGGAAACCAGGUGAAUAUUCCUGGGCCCGUCAGAAGUGACAGCCGUGAAGUGCUGUAUGCCCUUAUCGGAUUGGGUGUGCAGUUGGAUCGGCUCGGGAAAUAGCUCUGACAUAUGGACCGUACCCGAAACCGACACAGGUGGAUUGGACGAGUAUUCCAAGGCGCUUGAGGGAACCAUGCUGAAGGAACUAGGCAAAUUGCUCGCGUAACUUCGGGAUAAGCGAGACCUGCUGGCGGGCAACCGCUGGUGGGUGGCACAGACCAGGGGGUGGCGACUGUUUAGUAAAAACACAGGGCUCUGCGAAAUCGAGAGAUGACGUAUAGGGUCUGACGCCUGCCCGGUGCUGGAAGGUCAAGGGGAGGAGUGCAAGCUCCGAACCGAAGCCCCAGUAAACGGCGGCCGUAACUAUAACGGUCCUAAGGUAGCGAAAUUCCUUGUCGGGUAAGUUCCGACCUGCACGAAUGGCGUAACGACCUCCCCACUGUCUCCAGCAUGGGCUCAGCGAAAUUGAAUUCCCCGUGAAGAUGCGGGGUACCCGCGGUCAGACGGAAAGACCCUAUGAACCUUUACUGCAGCUUCGCAGUGGCGCCAGGAAGGGACUGUGUAGGAUAGGUGGGAGGCUUUGAAGCAUGGGCGCUAGCUUGUGUGGAGCCAACCUUGAAAUACCACCCUGUGCCUUUCUGGCGUCUAACCGAACCCGGUCACCCCGGGUCGGGACCCUGCGUGGUGGGCAGUUUGACUGGGGCGGUCGCCUCCCAAAUGGUAACGGAGGCGCGCGAUGGUGGGCUCAAGCCGGUCGGACAUCGGCUGUUGAGUGCAAAGGCACAAGCCCGCCUGACUGCGAGCGCGACGGCGCGAGCAGAGACGAAAGUCGGCCUUAGUGAUCCGGUGGUCCCGCGUGGAAGGGCCAUCGCUCAACGGAUAAAAGGUACUCUAGGGAUAACAGGCUGAUCUCCCCCAAGAGUCCACAUCGACGGGGAGGUUUGGCACCUCGAUGUCGGCUCAUCGCAUCCCGGGGCUGGAGCAGGUCCCAAGGGUUCGGCUGUUCGCCGAUUAAAGCGGUACGUGAGCUGGGUUUAGAACGUCGUGAGACAGUUCGGUCCCUAUCUGCCGUGGGUGUACGAGACUUGAGAGGAUCUGUCCCUAGUACGAGAGGACCGGGAUGGACGCACCUCUGGUGAACCGGUUGUCACGCCAGUGGCACGGCCGGGUGGCCAAGUGCGGAACGGAUAACCGCUGAAGGCAUCUAAGCGGGAAACCAGCCUCAAGACCAGGUCUCGCCGAGGGCCGUGGUAGACCACCACGUCGAUAGGCCGCAGGUGCAAGAAGGGUAACCUUCUCAGCCGAGCGGUCCUAAUCGCCCGAUCGAGCUCAAGA
rnacentral:rRNA from 1 species